AGCGAACGCUGGCGGCAUGCUUAACACAUGCAAGUCGCGCGGUCAGUAAUGGCAGCGGCGGACGGGUGAGUAACACGUAGGAAUCUAUCCCAGGGUGGGGGACAACAGCGGGAAACUGCUGCUAAUACCGCAUGAUACCUGAGGGUCAAAGGCGCAAGUCGCCUUGGGAGGAGCCUGCGUCUGAUUAGCUUGUUGGUGGGGUAAAGGCCUACCAAGGCGACGAUCAGUAGCUGGUCUGAGAGGAUGAUCAGCCACAUUGGGACUGAGACACGGCCCAAACUCCUACGGGAGGCAGCAGUGGGGAAUAUUGGACAAUGGGCGCAAGCCUGAUCCAGCAAUGCCGCGUGUGUGAAGAAGGUCUUCGGAUUGUAAAGCACUUUUGGCAGGGACGAUGAUGACGGUACCUGCAGAAUAAGCCCCGGCUAACUUCGUGCCAGCAGCCGCGGUAAU
rnacentral:rRNA from 1 species